rnacentral:rRNA from 1 species
GACGAACGCUGGCGGCGUGCCUAAUACAUGCAAGUCGAGCGGACUUAAAAAGCUUGCUUUUUAAGUUAGCGGCGGACGGGUGAGUAACACGUGGGCAACCUGCCUGUAAGACUGGGAUAACUUCGGGAAACCGGAGCUAAUACCGGAUAAUCCUUUUCUACUCAUGUAGAAAAGCUGAAAGACGGUUUACGCUGUCACUUACAGAUGGGCCCGCGGCGCAUUAGCUAGUUGGUGAGGUAACGGCUCACCAAGGCGACGAUGCGUAGCCGACCUGAGAGGGUGAUCGGCCACACUGGGACUGAGACACGGCCCAGACUCCUACGGGAGGCAGCAGUAGGGAAUCUUCCGCAAUGGACGAAAGUCUGACGGAGCAACGCCGCGUGAGUGAUGAAGGUUUUCGGAUCGUAAAACUCUGUUGUUAGGGAAGAACAAGUACGAGAGUAACUGCUCGUACCUUGACGGUACCUAAACAGAAAGCCACGGCUAACUACGUG